UGAGCUACAGGACACAGCACGAGCAGUGAAAGCAGGGUCCCCACAGACUUCUAUCAGGCGCGUUCACGGUCAUAACAAAGCCUACGUCAGCAUGCGCGCUUCACAGAAUGUCCGCCCCCAUGCUUGCCUGGAGUUUCACAUCGCAAUAGGAUUCUCCUCAGGUCUGUGAGGAUGAGAAGGUCUCCACAGUCUGGAGUCUGGUCUCUGACAGGCUCAACAUACCUGUCAAUCAACAGGGACUCCUCUACAAAGGCAAGGCGCUGGCAGGUAGGCUGAACAGCACAGCACAGCACAGCACAGCACAGAUCACCCCUCAUCUCGCCCCUCACCUCACCCCUCCUCUCACGCCUCGCCUCACCCCGGGUCAGUGUGGCACAGCCUGCCUGCUCUUCUGAACAAACACUUCAGUGUCUGGAGCAGCUACACAAGGUGAUGAAGUGACACUUUGAAUAUGGGGCCUGAUGAGAGAAGUAUCCUUUUCAUGUGGUUUUGGUUUUGCCGUUGUGAGCAGGUGUGGGAGACAGCACCGUGUCUUCAUGUGAAAUAACAAAGUCAUCGCAGUGGAGGGACUCUCUGAAGGCUGCUGUUUGUGGAUUUGUCUUUUAAUGUGAGUGAUCUACUGUACUGUGAUGCCACUGACUGUACGCACGCUGCACUGUAGGGGAGACACCGCUGGCAUUCACAGGGCAUGCUUGUUCAUUUAAAGCACGCUGCACUGCA